GGGUGAGUAAGACGUAGGUGACCUGCCUCGAAUGGGGGAUAACCAUUGGAAACGAUGGCUAAUACCGCAUAAGCUGGUGACGAUGGGAAUGGUUAUCAGGAAAGCUUUAGUGCUUUGAGAGGGGCCUACGGCCGAUUAGCUAGUUGGUGAGGUAAAGGCUCACCAAGGCGAUGAUCGGUAGCUGGUCUGAGAGGACGAUCAGCCACACGGGAACUGAGACACGGUCCCGACUCCUACGGGGGGCAGCAGUGAGGAAUAUUCGGCAAUGGGGGCAACCCUGACCGAGCAACGCCGCGUGGAGGAUGACGGUUUUCGGAUUGUAAACUCCUUUUCUCAGGGAAGAGCGAGGACGGUACCUGGGGAAUAAGUCACGGCUAACUACGUGCCAGCAGCCGCGGUAAUACGUAGGUGGCAAGCGUUAUCCGGAAUUACUGGGCGUAAAGCGCACGCAGGUGGCGGCUUAAGUCUGACGUGAAAGCUCCUGGCUUAACUGGGAGAGGUCGUUGGAGACUGGGCGGCUUGAGGCGAGGAGAGGGG
rnacentral:rRNA from 1 species